rnacentral:rRNA from 1 species
CAGUAGCCGCGGUAAUACGAAGGGGGCUAGCGUUGUUCGGAUUUACUGGGCGUAAAGGGUGCGUAGGCGGAUUGUUAAGUCAGGGGUGAAAUCCCGAGGCUCAACCUCGGAACUGCCUUUGAUACUGGCGAUCUUGAGUCCGGGAGAGGUGAGUGGAACUGCGAGUGUAGAGGUGAAAUUCGUAGAUAUUCGCAAGAACACCGGUGGCGAAGGCGGCUCACUGGCCCGGAACUGACGCUGAGGCACGAAAGCGUGGGGAGCAAACAGGAUUAGAUACCCCUGUAGUCCCUGUCUCUUAUAC